GCCAGCAGCCAUAUCAUCCUGCAACUCACAACUGGCAACCCACUGAAGCUCAGCAGGUGUGAGCCUGGUCAGUACCUGGAUGGGAGACCUCCAGAGAAAAUCUAAGGUUGCUGUUGGAA
ensembl:rRNA 5S_rRNA 5S ribosomal RNA